UUACAAAAUUUUCUUGAUCUCUCCAUUUAUCACAAGAAACCCUAGAAAGAGAAAUCUUCCGCAAAAUCUGAAACCCUGGAAAGAGAAGAAGACCAUCAUGUCCGACAGUGAGGCCAUGGACGAUUCCCUCUGGCGCCACCUUCCACCGGAGAUCAUCGCCCACAUACUCUCUCUCCUACCGGUAAAGUCUCUCUGUCGAUUCAAGUGCGUCUCCCCUUUGUGGAAAUCCCUAAUCUCUUCCCCCAAAUUCUUCAAAACCCACCUUCACAUGACCAUCACUACCAACAAACCUCAAAAAACCCUUCUCAGGUCCCGCUCCGACGCUCUCUACUCCCUUGAUCUCGCCGACGCAAAUCCAGCUGCUGAAAAGCUUGAUUCUUUUUCGGCCGAGCAGUUUGGCGAGUGGCGCAGGGUUUCAAAUCCCUGCUAUGGCUUGCUUCUAGUUCACGGUAAAAGUUAUGAAUCCAAUUUCUUGUUGAAUCCGUUCACUGGCGAAUGCAAGAAACCCCUUCUCUGACAUCAAUUCGCCUGAAGGGUUUAGGCAUUCUGUACGUGGGUUCGGUUAUGACUCGGGUACGGAUGAUUACAAGGUUGUGAUUGUCUGUACCCCCCUGAAGUUGAUACUGAUGUGGGCCAUGUGGCUGUCUAUUCACUGAAAACUGAUGCUUGGAGCAAAAUUCAAGUUUCACACGAUCUCUUUCUGGAAGCUGACUUUGGGGUUUACCUUAAUGACCGUCUCCACUGGAUUUGUUCGGAUAGUGGUAUGCAUGCUGUUGCUUUCAAUUUUUCGGAUGAGAUCUUUAGAAAAAUCGAGCUGCCUGAUUAUGUGUUUGACAGUUCACACAUGGACGUUCUUCGGGGUUGUCUCUGUUUGGUUAUUUUCCCGGAUAGUUACGGAAUUGGAUUUUGGAUGAUGAAUGAGUAUGGGGUAACAGAGUCGUGGACUAAAUUUUCAAUUGCUAAUCCUAGGAUGUAUAUAGAUAGUGUGUUGUGUUUGUCAGCAGACAACGAGUUUGUGCUAAGAACGCACAGAAGGACAGCAGAUUUUAGCGGAGAAAUAUUAGUAGAUGAACCAAACAGACACCAACUAGUUCUGUACAAUCCGAAAAAAGAAAUAGUGAGGAUCAUGAUUGUUCCUGGCAUUCCAAGUGUAUUUUCAUUUUCGGGCAACUUGGUUGAGACCCUUGUCUCUCCUAAUUGGAGGACAGAUUAUGAGACAAUGUGAAGCUUCUUCCUGUGAAAGUUCAAAGAUUUAUCAGGUUUCCUAGAACAUUGGAUGAAACCAGGAGCUGUCAAUCGUCUGUAAAGGAAGAAAGUUGUGAGGUGGAACCGAGUUCAUACUUAGGCAACACUGAGGCUUCAAGUUCAAGCGGCAAUUUCGCCAUUAAAGAUGCUUGUUGAUAGGAAGAUGUUUUUAAUUUUGGUGCAGAUCCUGUAGUGAUUAGCUAUGGUUCUGUUUUGUGGGUGAAUCUUGUGGUUUUUUGGUUGAUUACUGGCACACUGCUCUACUUCUUUUCAUGACAUGACCUAUCUAACAAUUGAAUCUUAAAAUUAAUGUUUGUUGUUUUGUUUGUGGUCAGAUUCCGAAUGAUGCUGUUUUUUUCCCUUUUAACUAAGCAUAUGUGCAGUACUCAUUAGUCAUUAGCAAGCGCUUCGUAUAUGCCCAUCAAAGGCGUCGUUCCCCAUCCAGGAGCGACUUUACCAUCGAUCAUCAUCUCAACUUGUUUAGUAAAGAUCUUCCUCAAUUUUGAAUUUGAUGAGGACAGCCUCAUUGUGUUCGAAAGAUUUGUUGCCGCAUUGCCCUUAUCCAUUAAUGAUAAUUGUUGAAUUGAUGUUCCAGUUUCAGCUUUCUAGUUUUUGAUGCUGCUCUUCUCCGUUAUGGGGCUUCUAGCCAUUUCUUUCAUCUAUUUACUAGUGCACAUAAAUUGAAUUGGGUAUCUAGGCUUGCCCUCUCUGAUGCCAUUUGGCUUUAAUUUGGGGACAUGGUUCCGCAACAAAAUAGGUAUAGAGGGCCACUAUUUCGGUGGUAUUCUGAGAGCACAAAGUCUAGGCCUGCCUUCUUUGAUGCCAUUUGGCUUUGAUUUGGGUGCAUGGUUCCGCAACAAAACAGGUAUAGGGGGCCAUUGUUUCUGUGGUAUUCUAAGAGCAGCCACUUUGUGCAUAUUGCCAAAGGUUAGGUUUAUCUCCAAUCCUUCCCCGCCCAUACCCCCAAUGAUUGAGGACUACAUGGGUUGUGUUGUUGAUGUCUUUAGUGGUGUUAGAAUACAUGCACAUUGAUUGUCUAAAUUUUAUUUUGCAGCUGCCAGUGAAGGAACAUCCAAGCUCUAAUCCUACAAAUAAAUUAUGUGCAGCAGUACUCAACGGUUUACCAGGGAACCAUGUUCUAUCUAGUUAUGCCCUUCAGCACUUCUUCUCCAAGCCCGUUUGAAGGUACUUUUGGGGCUUGAUUUCAAGUGAAGCUUCUUCUUCUUUUUUUCCUAGUAUUUAUUUUUGUAACUUCAGUUUCAUUUCUCGGCAAAGAGCUUCUUUGUUGUGGUAUUGUUUGUUAUUCCAUGAGUGUUCCAUUAUUCACCUUGGGAUGUAAUGAGGACAGCUUUAACAUGGAUGACUUGGGAAAGUUCCUGGUUCCUCCUGUCCAAGAAAUUGAUACUUGAAGCUGAAGCUAGUAGUAGUAUUAGUAUCAUUUUUGUCAUCUUCAAAUUGUGAAGCCCUUGUGGAUGGUCUGUGUUGGAGUUGUCCUCAUAAGAAUCUUUACAUAGAUUUUUGAAGUAGUUGUUAGCAGUGGCAGCAGUGAUAUAAAGUGUUGGAGGUAUUCUUUGAAA